rnacentral:misc_RNA from 1 species
UAGGUGUUUGUGUGUUGGUUGUGGUGUCUCCACCGGUGUCAAUCGCGAAUCGCGGCGCCAGGCGCCAACCACGCUGCAACAGCGUUGCCCGCAGGCUUGCUAAUGAUCCUUCCGCAGGUUCACCUACGGAAA